rnacentral:rRNA from 1 species
CACGUAGGGCGCGAGCGUUGUCCGGAAUUAUUGGGCGUAAAGAGCUCGUAGGCGGCCUGUUGCGUCCGCUGUGAAAGCCCGGGGCUUAACCCCGGGUCGGCAGUGGAUACGGGCAGGCUAGAGGUAGGUAGGGGAGAAUGGAAUUCCCGGUGUAGCGGUGAAAUGCGCAGAUAUCGGGAGGAACACCGGUGGCGAAGGCGGUGCCUGGGGCUUGCUGACGCUGAUGCGCGAAAGCGUGGGGAGCGAUCCGG